ensembl:Y_RNA Y_RNA Y RNA
GGCUGGUCCGAGUGCAGUGGUGUUUACAACUAAUUGAUCACAACCCGUUACAGAUUUCUUUGUUCCUUCUCCACUCCCACUGCUUCACUUGACUAGCCUUUA